GAAGAAUGUGAUAAAUAUAUAUGUUGAAAUUGAAAUGGGAGAAUUGGAUGCGUAUGAAAAGGACUUCGAAGAAUACAUGCUCAUUGAUACUCGCAAGUACUAUUUGCAUAAAGCAUCAAGUUGGAUUUUGGAGUACUCGUACACGGAUUACAUGUUGAAGGCAGAGGAAUGCUUGAGAAGGGAGAGGGAUAGAGUUUCUUGUUACCUGCUUCCGAGCAGUCAGAAGAAGCUAAUGGAGACAGUGAAACAUUGCUUGGUGGUGGUUCAUGGAAGUCAAUUGAUUCAGAAGAGCAUUCUGUAUCUGGAUGUACUUUGCUCACGGUUGAAAAUCUGGAGGAGCUUUCUAGGAAAUUUAUUGCUAAUUUGGCAUUGGAACAGCGAGUCUCUGCUGAAGGUUUGCCCUUUGUUCGACAGGCAGAAGAUGUAGCAAUGAUUGAGGAUUGAGGGGAGUCGCACUGCAACAAUUGACCUGUAGAAAAAUGGUAAAAAAUGUUUGGUUAUUAGGGGUUUUACUUUCGGAUAUGCUGCAAACUGUGCGCUGCUUGUUUUGAGAUCCUUUGACCCACCCUCUGAUAUGUCAUAUAACUAACUACCUUGGUGCCAAGUAUGUUUUGUAAUUGUUGUCACUGUAGCAUUAAAAUGGAUGUUUGGAAAACAAUGGAAAACGUGGUUGAUAAAAUCGCUGCCGUUAUGUCUUAGCUUGGCGUACUUGUGUUCAAGCAUCAAAUUGUAGUUUCAAUGCAGCGUUUGAAUCCAAAUGUUAAAAAACAGAAUCAAGAAAUAGAAGUUGCAUUACAGUGUCUAAUCGGUAUUGACCUAAGUGGCAGAUUUUGAAAGUUUUUAUUAUUUUAAAUGGCAUUUGAGUAUCAUAAUACAUGAUUGACAUGUUUAUAAUUAAAUAAAUAUUGUUGAUAUGCUGUUGAUAUUGUAAUAUUUUAUUGAUUUUAUACAAAAUCAUUCUUAAAAUAUUCUCUAUAUAUUCUAUUUGAUCGUAUUAAACUUAACCCUAUUAUAUGAAGGUUUAGUAAAAGAACAUGUGUCGAUUAAUUAGAUAGGACACAUGAAAAUCGACCAUAGAAGAUUUGAACUUGACUAUUAAAGGUGAACGAGUAAAAAAAAAAAAAUUUGACAAGUGAUAGCGUUAGUAAGUUAAAUUGUUAGUUGUUAAAGAAAAGAUGAUCGGUGAAAAUAGAAUCUGCAUUGGAGUGUAUAUACACUUGUUUUCUGCCACUGCAGCGAAACGCGAUCUGCGAAUUAGUAGACAAAUUGUCUUCAAGGCAAAUGAGCAUCUAACCUUAUGAGACCUGCAUAUUAAAAAAAUUGAUGAAACGGGAUUUGACACCCCAGUUACUUGCUGAUGGGCAUCCUGCUUCUUACCUUCAAAUCCUAGUCAGACGUAACCCUUCGGUUACAGCACUUUGACGACGUAACCCUUCGGUUACAGCACUUUGACACCCCCACUUAGUUGAUGCUCUAAAUAAGCCUAAAGUUGCGUAAUUAAUUAGAAGAAUUAGGUCACUUAGUAUUUCAGUUUAGUAGUAUUCCUCUUCAUUUGUAAGUGAGAAGUCAAUAGCCUACGGUUUAGUGGUAUUGCUAACCCAUUAUGAAGCUAAGCUUACAUCUCUCUCAUUUAGUGUAGAUAGUCAAAAAAAAAAAAAAAAAAAAGUGAGAGGUUUCAAGUUCAAGUCUCUUCAAAGGCAAAUUUGAACCAAAUUGUUGCUAACUCGUUGUGGGCUAAACUCACCCCCUUCCUCUUAGUAUAGAUAAUAUCGUUUGUUAAAAAAAAUUAAAAUAUGUGAGAUAAAUCUUCGUUGUUAUGAGGGGGUUGGUUUUGUUUUUGAGAGAUUAUACUCACACACCCCAAAUUACUUCUCUCACCCCUUUUUAAUUUUUUAAUAUUUUUCUAUCAAGUGUUAGUGGUGUGUAGAAAAUAUUAAAAAAUUAAAAUGGUAUGGAAGAAGUAAUUUAUGAUGUGUGAAUAUAAUCUUUCGGAUUUUUUUCCUCUCCUUUUUAGUUUAACGACUUCCUUUUUCACUUCAUAGCUUCACACAACCGCGUUUAAUAUCUGGACCGUUGACAGCUAUUGACCCAAGUGAAAACGCGUUUUACAAAAUCCUGACCGUUGGAAAUCCUAACAACUUCCUUUUUCACUUCAUAGCUUCACACAACCGCGUUUAAUAUCUGGACCGUUGACAGCUAUUGACCCAAGUGAAAACGCGUUUUACAAAAUCCUGACCGUUGGAAAUCCUAACCUUGUACCCAAGGUAAAGCCAAUUGACGAAAACGCCCCUUCCUUCCUAGAGCGGUUGGGAAGUCGACUCCGUGAAGUAACAAGUAGCAACUGGGAGAGUGGGAUUGCUUGCGUUGCACGAAUUCAAUUACAAAUCCAAUUAAACCAACUGAGUUGCAAUCCAAUUACAAAGCCCUUUCCUUUUUCAGUCGGGAGAUAGUGGAAUGAAUGAAUGAAGCUAUAAAUUGGAACCCUAAUUUCCACACUUUCCAUAAUUUCCCGAAUCUCAAAACCGCAAUUGCCAACUGUUAGAAUUAUUAGGUUUGUUGAAUGUAGUGGUUCUAUCCACUACGUCAGCUUAGUUUUUGUUCGGGAUAGCAGUUAUAACUGCAUGACUAAAUAAACCCUAGAAUGUAGGGAUCAGUUGAAGUUGUUUUAUUUCAGAGUUAGUCAUACACCACGUUUAGGUUUGUGUUUAACGUGGGUUGCAUGCUUAUCUUUCUGUUAUGUAAGGCUUAUAUAAAGCCGGUUUUCUUGAUUAAUGACUAUGUGAAUUUCCUCCCAGUUUACAGAGAUCUUUUUCAAUAAACACUUGGUUCUAACAUUUGGUAUCAGAGCCCCACCCUGGGGCUCUUGAUCGAAGCUUGAGAGAUAGCAAUCUUUUGAGUGAAGAGGUACGAGAAUAUGGCAGGCGACGGAAGUGGUUUUGUGUAAGCAUCCAUUCCAAAACUGGAUGGGCAUUAUGACCACUGGGCGAUGCUUAUGGAAAAUUUCCUACGUUCAAAGGAAUACUGGAGUAUUGUGGAGCAUGGAAUCCCUGCAGCAGCAGAAGCAGCCUCACCCUCGGAGGGGCAACGGAAAGUGCUCGAAGAUCAAAAGUUGAAAGAUCUAAAGGCCAAGAACUACCUGUUUCAGGCAAUUGAUCGGGGUGUUUUGGAAACGAUCUUGAAUGAGGAUACGGCUAAGGAGAUUUGGGAUUCGUUGAAACAGAAGUAUCAAGGGACUGCUCGAGUCAAGCGAGCACAGUUGCAAGCACUUCGAAAGGAGUUUGAGAUGCUUCACAUGAAGACAGGAGAAACUGUGAAUGAGUUUUUUGGUCGAACUCUGACCAUAGCCAACAAGAGAAGGAUCAAUGGCGACAAAUUGACGGAUGUAGAAGUCAUUGAGAAGAUCUUGAGAUCGAUGACUCCUAAAUAUGACUAUGUGGUUUGUUCAAUUGAGGAAUCCAAAGAUCUAGAUAUUCUCUCAAUUGAUGAACUGCAAAGUAGUUUGCUAGUGCAUGAGCAGCGGAUGAUUGGACACAUUGUGGAGGAGCAAGCACUAAAGGUGACCUAUGAAGAGAAUUCUGGAGGAAGAGGACGUGGUCGAGGAAGCUUCCGUGGAAGAGGUAGAGGAAGAGGUCGGCAAAAUUUUGACAAAUCAGCAAUUGAGUGCUAUAAUUGUCAUGAAUUAGGGCACUAUCAGUAUGAGUGUCCUAAGAAAGACAAGGAAACAAAGGUCAACUAUGCAGAGGCUGGUGAAGAGAUGUUGCUAAUGGCGUACGUAGAUACUCAAGAGAUCAAAGAAGAUAUUUGGUUCCUGGACUCGGGUUGCAGCAAUCAUAUGUGUGGUAAGAGGGAGUUAUUCUCUGAUUUUGAUGGAAGUUUUAGAGAAACUGUGAAACUAGGGAACAACACUAGUAUGGCUGUUUUGGGAAAAGGAAACAUUCGACUACAAGUGAGUGGAUUGAUUCAGGUGAUCACGGGAGUCUUCUAUGUGCCUGCUUUAAAGAACAAUCUUCUAAGUAUUGGUCAGCUUCAAGAGAAAGGUCUUGCUAUUCUCAUUCAACACGGGAGAUGCAAGAUCUUUCAUCCUAAAAGGGGACUGAUCAUAGAGACGGUUAUGGCUGCAAACCGCAUGUUCACUCUUGUUGCCCAAUAUCAAUCCAAUGUCCAGGAAUGUUUCAAUGCCCUCACGGAUGAUCCGAUUCAGUUGUGGCAUUGCAGAUAUGGGCAUUUGAGUCUUGGUGGCUUAAAGACUCUACAACAGAAGCAGAUGGUGAGUGGAUUACCUCAGAUAAAUGACUCUUCAAGAAUAUGCGAGAUUUGCUUGGUAGGCAAGCAAUCGAGAGAUUCCUUUUCCAAAAAUGAGUACUUGAAGGGCUUGUCAAAUUCUACAACUCAUUCAUGCAGAUAUAUGUGGACCGAUAAAGCCUACCUCCAAUAGCAAGAAGAGGUAUUUACUCACCUUCAUUGAUGAUUUUAGUCGUAAGACUUGGAUCUAUUUUUUAACUGAAAAGUCAGAAGCUUUUCGAGUUUUUAAAGCUUUCAAAAGUCUUGUGGAGAAUGAAACUGAUGCAAGUAUUAAAAGAUUGCGGACGGAUCGUGGAGGAGAGUUUACAUCUCACGAGUUUGUUGAGUUUUGUGUUGAGAAUGGGAUCCAACGACAACUGACAGCAGCUUACACCCCGCAGCAGAACGGAGUAGCUGAACGUAAGAAUCGGACCAUCAUGAACAUGGUUCGAAGCUUAUUAACCGAGAAGAAGAUGCCAAAGACUUUUUGGCCUGAAGCAGCAAACUGGACAGUUCAUGUGCUCAACAGGAGUCCCACACUUGCAGUAAAAAACAAAACACCCGAGGAAGCGUGGAGUGGUACGAUACCGUCAGUGAGUUACUUCAGGGUUUUUGGGUGCAUUUCAUACAUACAUAUUCCAGACAAUAAGAGGACCAAGCUGGAUGACAAAAGUAUGAAAUGUGUGCUACUUGGAGUUAGCGAAUGAUCAAAGGCCUAUCGGCUAUUUGAUCCAGUUUCGCAGAGGAUCGUAAUCAGCCGUGAUGUUAGAUUUGAUGAGAAUAGCAGCUGGGAAUGGGAUGAGCAUCAUCAUGAAGCUGUCAUAGCAGAUCUGGAAUGGGAUGAAAGUGAUGAAGAUAAAGAAGUUGAAGCUGAUGAAGUUGAUAAUCAGGGAGAAGAUGAAGAUGGAUUCGAUGGAAAUGAAAAUAACACAAGCAACAAUAGUGGAUCAUACGGAGUCUCAGAAGCAAGUUCAUCCAGUCCAGAAGAAAGAAGACCUAGGGCUCCGCCGGUGUGGAUGAGAGAUUAUGUAACGGGAGAAGGAUUAUCUGAAGAAGAAGACAUGGUGCACUUGGCUCUUUUAGCAAACAGCGAUCCAACCAGCUACAAUGAAGCUGCAAAAAGUGGUAAAUGGAGGAAAGCUAUGGAUGUCGAGAUAGCAGCUAUUGAGAGGAACAACACUUGGGAAUUGACAGAUUUACCUCAAGGUGGGAAGAUGAUCGGAGUCAAAUGGGUUUACAAGACUAAACUGAAUGAGAAUGGAGAGGUGGACAAGUACAAAGCUCGGCUUGUGGCUAAAGGGUAUGCUCAAGAAUAUGGGGUUGAUUAUGCUGAAGUGUUUGCUCCUGUGGCUCGGUUGGAUACCAUUCGAGUUGUCAUUGCACUUGCUGCGCAAAGGGAAUGGACGAUUCAUCAACUGGACGUGAAAAAUGCCUUCCUACAUGGAGAUAUCAGUGAAGAAGUGUUUGUAGAACAACCACCUGGGUAUGUGCAGAGAGGAAAGGAGCAUAAAGUUUACAAAUUAAGGAAAGCUCUAUAUGGACUUAAACAAGCCCCUCGUGCUUAGUAUAGUCGUAAUAGAAGCUUAUUUCUUGAAGGAAGGGUUUGUGAAGUGUCCCUAUGAACACACUUUGUUCAUUAAAACUGGAGAAGGAGGUACCAAGCUAACGAAGGAUGUGACGGGUGAGAAGGUCGACAAUACCUUCUACAAACAGAUCGUGGGGAGCCUCAUGUAUCUCACAGCCACUCGGCCUGACACUAUGUUUGUAGUAAGCCUAAUUAGCAGGUUUAUGGAGAGUCCAACCGAGAUGCAUUUGGCAGCGGCAAAAAGGGUUCUGAGGUAUUUAAAAGGCACGAUCAGCCUUGGAAUUCUUUACAAAAAGGGAGAACAUGUUGAGCUCAGAGGCUAUUCAGAUAGUGAUUAUGCAGGUGACUUAGAUGACAGAAAGAGCACAUCGGGGUAUUUGUUUAUGCUAAGCUCAGGAGCUGUGUGUUGGUCUUCCAAGAAGCAACCUGUGGUCACGUUAUCAACAACUGAAGCCGAAUUCAUAGCAGCAGCUUCAUGUGCCUGUCAGGCAACCUGGUUGAGAAGAAUAAUGAAGGAAUUAGGUCAAACUCAGCAAGACUCCACAACGAUUUUUUGUGACAACAGCUCAGCAAUAAAGCUCUCCAGGAAUCCUGUAAUGCAUGGUCGAAGCAAACACAUAGAUGUACGUUUCCACUUUCUUCGUGAGCUGACUAAGGAUGAAAUUGUGAAUUUGGUUCAUUGCAACACUCAAGAACAAGUAGCAGACAUAUUAACCAAGCCUUUGAAGACUGAUGCUUUUCUGAAGAUGCGUGAGCUUAUGGGAGUGUGUCUGGAACCAGGAGUAAACUGAAUACUUAGUAAUCAGUUUAAGGGAGGAUGUUAGAAUUAUUAGGUUUGUUGAAUGUAGUGGUUCUAUCCACUACGUCAGCUUAGUUUUUGUUCGGGAUAGCAGUUAUAACUGCAUGACUAAAUAAACCCUAGAAUGUAGGGAUCAGUUGAAGUUGUUUUAUUUCAGAGUUAGUCAUACACCACGUUUAGGUUUGUGUUUAACGUGGGUUGCAUGCUUAUCUUUCUGUUAUGUAAGGCUUAUAUAAAGCCGGUUUUCUUGAUUAAUGACUAUGUGAAUUUCCUCCCAGUUUACAGAGAUCUUUUUCAAUAAACACUUGGUUCUAACACUUGCUUCUCUCUCUCCCGUUAUUUCAAAAGCUCUCAACUUUCAAAUCUUCUGUUCUCAGAGAUCCGGAACCCUAAUCAGUGUUCAAUUGUUCAUACGUUCUAGGGUUUUCCUCAGAGAUCGCAACUAGUUCCUUGGCGUUGAGGGGUUUAGUUUAGCUUCAUUAACUAUUGGAGGGUUGGUUCGGCUCCUUACGAGUUACGACCGGAUCAUGGACAAGUUUUGGAUUACUAAGCAACUAGGCGGUGGUUCUUUCGGAACGGUAUUUGAGGCGCAGCACCGACCGACGGGUGAAGUCGUUGCAGUCAAGUAUCUGAGGGAGACAUUCAGUUCCUUUGAGCAGUGCUUAAGCCUACCGGAAGUUCAGUCCCUUUCCAAGCUCAGGCACCCCAACAUUGUCCAGUUGAAGGAUGUCAUCUUCGAAAACGAUUCUGCAUUCCUUGUCUUUGAGUAUAUGCAGAGCAGUCUGCUUGAUCUUAUGAUGAAAAGGCGAACCAAAUUCACCGAGGAAGAAGUUAGAAGCAUCUGCUUUCAGAAGUUUCAGGGCCUGGCUUAUAUGCACAGAAACGGCUAUUUCCACCGUGAUUUGAAGCCCGCUAAUGUGUUGGUUAAGGAUGGUGCGCGUGUGGUCAAGAUUGCAGAUUUGGGUUCGGCUAAGGAGAUUGAUUCACCUCCUCCCUAUACAGACUACGUCACUACUCGUCCGUAUCGUGCUCCUGAGGUGUUUCUUCGGUCAGGCUUGUAUGGUCCUAAGGUCGAUAUGUGGGCAAUGGUUGCCAUCAUAGCGGAGCUGUUUUCAUUCUGGCCUCUAUUUCCCGGUGAAAGUGCUGAUGAUCAGAUGUUCAAGAUUUGCAGUGUUAUAGGCAGUCCCACUUGGGAGUCAUGGCCAGAGGGACAGCUUCUUGCCCAAAACUUGAACUAUCAGUUUCCAAAAAUUGGCGGGGUUGGUCUAUCUGCGAUGAUUCCUUCUGCAAGCAGAUCUGCCAUCCAGCUGAUUUCUUCCCUUUGUUCUUGGGACCCUUCCGCGAGGCCUACUGCUGCUGAGGCACUACGGCAUCCUUUCUUCGUUGGCAACUACAAGAUUCCACGAGCCAUCCCUUUGAGACAAAGCAAUAUCCUGCCUGCAUCAAACUCUCUUAUUUUCGCCUAGAUUUGACACGAAUAAUGUGGGUAGUUAACUGCAUUUGAUUCAUUAGCUUUCAAAAACUAGAUACAAAUUUUAUUUUAACGAGUGUAGUUUAUUUGAAUGCUCAACGUAGAGUGGCAGCAGGCCAACUACAUGUAAUGUAUGUAUGUAUGAUACAGUUUAGUAAGCUCUCAUUAAUCUGCGAUAUAUACCUACAAAUUUCAUUUCAACUGAGUCCCAUUGUUUUGUUUGGUUCACAUUUCAGUGUUCGAAACAUAAUCAGACAUCGACACUUAGUAAGUAAAUGAACAAAUUACUUGCAGGCUAAUUUGCGAGGAAAAAGGAAACUCAGAUAACAUAACGCAAGGCUUUAAUUUACAACUCAAGGCAUCCAACAACGAAGUAGAGUAUGAUGCCUUAUUAACAGGACUCUGAAUGGCACAAGAUCUGGCAGUCAAGAGGCUCGCAAUCCAUUCCGAUUCUCAGCUCAUCACUAGCCAGACUACCAGGGAGUAUGCAACAAAGCAUCUAAGGAUGACAUUAUACCUCGAGAAGGUACGAAAGCAACUUGAGGCGUUUCAGACUUAGACCCUCACAUAGGUGCCAUAGGUAAAUAACGCUCAUGCAAACACCAUGACAGCCUUCAACUCUACUUUGGACUACCAAUUCAGAUGCUCCAUCCCGAUCGAGUAUUUGGGAAAGCCGAGUAUAGAAGAAGAACCAACAGCUGAGGGGUUACAAGUUAGUACAAUCCCAAGUUGGCAAGAUCCUAUCAUCUACUACCUAGUCAAUAGGACACUUAUUGUAGAAAGAUUAAAAGCUAGGAAGCUACAAAUAAAGGUGACAUGCUACUAUAUGUGGAACGACAUUCUCGUCUGAAGGUCCUUUUCAGGCCCACAUCAUUCGUUGCAAAGUGCCUCCUGAUGACUUAAAAGUUUUGAGCUCGAUCCACAAAGGAGUUUGCGAAAACCACUAAGGAGGCCGAUCCUUAGCACAUAAGGUCUUCAACGCCGGCUACUACUAGUCUACCGUGCAUUAAGACGCUAAGGAAUUGUUCAAAAGUACAACAGAUAUCAACGCUCAAGCCUGUACCCUUACUACUUGCCAGCGAGCUCCACCCGCAGACAAGCCUAUGGCCAUUUAUGCAGUGGGAAAUCAACCUAGUAGGGCCCAAGCUGCCUGAUACUAGGGGCAAAGCAUAAUGAUUGUGGCUACCAACUACUUCACCAAGUGGGUAGAAGCUGAGCUCAUGACCACCACUACUCAAUUAGACAUAGAGUGCUUCAACCAUAAUCUAUCAUCACUGACAAUUGCCUGUAAUUCGUGGGCAAAGACUUGGCGAAGUUGUUCUAGAAAUAUGGCAUCAAGCAGAAUAUAUCUACGCUUAGAUAUCCCCAAAGCAAUGGGCAGGCGAAGGCAUCCAACAAGACAAUGGGUUACUAAGUUAUCGAGUGGGAUCAAGGAUGGGACCACGUACAGCAGGGGAUCGUAAAGAUGAACAGGAUUAUACAAGGAUCAUCAGAACCUCAGUUCACCUCAGAAGAAUAUAUGAGCCUUUACACAACUCUCUAUAACAUGUCUAUUCAACAACCUCCUCAUAAUUAUUCUCAGCAGCUCUAUGAAAAGUAUCAGGAGACAAUUGAGGAAUACAUUUCUUCAACAGUGCUGCCGCCCCUAAUGGAGAAGCAGGAUGAGUUUAUGUUGCAGGAGUACGUCAAAAAUUGGGUAAAUUAUAAAGUUAUGUUUAGGUGGCUCUCACACUUCUUUUGUUUUUUUUAUGACCGUGGCAUCACUCGGAAUCAGACAUCACUUCCUGGGCCGAAUGAAGUUGUACUUAACUGCUUCUGUAAUUUGGUUUAUCUGAAGGUAAAUGCUAAUGUGAGAUAUUAUGUACUUGGACUUAUGCAUAAAGAACGUGAGGGAGAGAAAAUUGACAGAGCACUACUAAAGAAUGUGAUAAAUAUAUAUGUUGAAAUUGAAAUGGGAGAAUUGGAUGCGUAUGAAAAGGACUUCGAAGAAUACAUGCUCAUUGAUACUCGCAAGUACUAUUUGCAUAAAGCAUCAAGUUGGAUUUUGGAGUACUCGUACACGGAUUACAUGUUGAAGGUAGAGGCAUGCUUGAGAAGGGAGAGGGAUAGAGUUUCUUGUUACCUGCUUCCGAGCAGUCAGAAGAAGCUAAUGGAGACAGUGAAACAUUGCUUGGUGGUUGUUCAUGGAAGUCAAUUGAUUCAGAAGAAGCAUUCUGUAUCUGGAUGUACUUUGCUCACGGUUGAAAAUCUGGAGGAGCUUUCUAGGAAAUUUAUUGCUAAUUUGGCAUUGGAACAGCGAGUCUCUGCUAAAGGUUCACCAUUUAUUCGACAGGCAGAAGAUGUAGCAAUGAUUGAGGAUUGAGGGGAGUCCUACUGCAACAAUUGACCUGUAGAAAAAUGGUAAAAAAUGUUUGGUUAUUAGGGGUUUUACUGUCGAAUAUGCUGCAAAUUUUGCGGUGCUUGUUUUGAGAUCCUUUGAUCCACCCUCUGAUAUGUCAUAUAACUAACUACCUUGGUGCCAAGUAUGUUUUGUAAUUGUUGUCGCUGUGGCAUUAAAAUGGAUGUUUGGAAAACAAUGGAAAACGUGGUUGAUAAAAUCGUUGUCGUUAUGUCUUAGCUUUGCGUACUUGUGUUCAAGCAUCAAAUUGUAGUUUCAAUGCAGCGUUUGAAUCCAAAUGUUAAAAAACAGAAUCAAGAAAUAGAAGUUGCGUUACAGUGUCUGAUCGGUAUUGACCUAAGUUGUAACAGCCUGUCCCUAAAAAUGAUGAUUUUAUAAUUUUAAUAGUUGAGUUAUGAAGAUGCCCUUCGAGGCAAAGUGUUGACUUGUGUUGACUACCGCGUCGUGUCAUGUGAGACUCAUUUUCUUGGCGUAUUCUCAUGUUACUAGUCGCUACGGACGUGUGGGCGCAAACAGGAUGGGAUUUGGAGCUAUAACGAAAGAGUUAUUAAUAUUUAAAGUUAAAAAUAUUUUAGUAAAUUAAUUAAUUUCAAAUUUUGUUGAGGGGAAAAUCUGGAAUGCCACGUGGGUGGCCCAGAUUAAAGGAAAUGAGGAAUGGAUGGUGGAGAUGUAAAGGAAAGAAGAUAAAAGAAAAAAUGAGAGGAAGUGUGUGACUAAUAGGGAGAGGAGAGAGUUAGGAUGACCCAAUCAAAAACAAAGGAAAGGAGGAAAAAAGGAGGGAAGAGAGGAGCGGGGGAUUCGUUGACCCGGUUCCAUUUUUCGACCCGACCCGGUCCUUUUCAUCUUCUCCGGGGGUUUUUCGUCGGUUUUUCCGGCGAACCACGUUAUCUAACCCUCUGGAAAAUGUUCCACGACCUUCCCUCUACCCAUUACAACCCAAAAUUGUAGAAAUUUAACCAUGAAGGUAUGAAAACCGCACCAGUGGGUGCGGGAAACCUUUACUGUCGAUUCUCCUAUUAUUGAAACGAUUUUCACCAAUUACCACCACCUAUAGCAUCCUCAUGAGGUCUUGAAUAAAGCCCAAACAAGUUUUGGGGCGUCGGAGUUCGUUCGAUGUCGAAUGGAGCACACCCAAAUUCAAGGGUUUCGUACGGUUCGUGGUGAUUUGAGGUGUUUCUCGACCCAAUUGGCCUUCGUAGCAGGUACAAAACAAUUCCCCAUGUUUUGUAGAUGAAUCCUCAUGUUUGGAUCAUUUAAUUUGGUGGAGAAAUGAGAUAGCUAUAACGAUUUUAAGGUUGCCAAGUUUCCGGUGACCUCAGCCACUUUCGGGGCGUUUUCCGGCUAAACUACGGCGAGUUAGCCAUCAUGUAAGGUACCAAUCUCUUCGUCUCAUCGCGAACUAUGAUUUCCGUUUUGAAUCACCUAUUUUCGUUAAGUAUUGACAAAGUUAUCGACAUUGAAAGGUAGCCCAGAAAUUCCGGCCAGUUACUAGUUUUCCCUCGGACAAUCAUCUUUCAGACCAUUGUCCGACCACCUCCGGCCACCAUUUGGAAUCCAAGCUGGUAUAAAUUUGUUCUACAUUUCUCUAGCUUCGAUUUGGUAUAUUAUGGGAUGAAUUUGGUUGAAAAACAAGUGAGAUAUGGAGUUCCAAAGAUCGCCCAGGAAAUCUGCAAAAUCUGUAGAAUCCGGCAAAGUUCCACUAAGGUCCAUCACUUGAUUAUGAGAGUAAUCGACGAUCCGACCGUUGGAUCGUCACCAAAAUUUAAUACAUUAUAUUACCUAAUAUUUGAGAACCAUAGAAACUUACAGAUAGGGAAUCUGAAGUACGGAUCUUCCCGAAUUGGAUUUGUAAGUUUAUAAAAUAAAUGUUAACUGCCACUUAGUUUUGGGCAAUUGGCGGAGAUCCGACCGUUGGAUCGUAAUGAAAUUUUAGUAUGUUAUUCUAGAAGCAUAAUGUGGAUCUUUGGAAGUUGCGGAUUGUAAAUCUAACGUGCGAAUCUUCUGGAUCGAGUUAUACAGAGUUGUGGACCCAACCAUCGAUCUUCCAUCGACGAUUGACUCUUGGUCAAUGGGUCUCAAAUUAUUCUUGAAGGUCCUUGAGGAUAUUUUUUUAUGUAAAUUAUGUAUUUUACUGGUAAGAACUCUAAGUCAUGAUUUGAUACUUGGCCACAGGCGACGAUAGUUCGUAAUGUCUCGAUAUUUGUGCAAGAGAGUUGUAGCGCGGACCUAAGGUGAGUAGGUCUUUUCUCUUCUAUAGUAUAUAUCUAUAUAUAUAAGAUUGACAUCUCCUUAAACGUUUAUAAAUUGAAUAUUUCAUAUAAUUACUGUCAAUACUUUGAAGUACUAAUGUGAACUACGAAUGACUUGAUCCCUGUUUAGGGUACGUAGGUAGUCUAACGAGACGUUAGAUGCAGCCAUACAAUAAGUGAGAUUAAAUAAUCGAGACAAAAGCUUUGUUUGGGAAAAUGAGCAAUGUGAAGGAAUCUGGUGAAAAACGUGAUAUUUAACCCUAUGUUUUGGGUGAAUAAAUGUUGGUUAUAAAUCAACGUACGAGGAAACAAGAAAUUGUGGUUUUAUGUUUUAUAAAUGCCAUGCCAUAAUUAGUCUACAUUUUAGUAUGUGAUUUAGUAUAACCUUGCACAAUGUUGAAUUCACCUAAGUUACUCAUUCCUAUUAAGAUAAUUGACAUAGCAUAACCGUAAGACUAUCAUUUUGGUUAUGGUCUUGAUUUAUAGUCACGCCUGUUAUUUUCUGGGAAAUUAAGCAAGUAUUGCGGCAAGGGGCUACUAUCUUUGGUAGUUGAAAUUGGUUUGAAGAGUUUUAUUUGACUCACUCACAUUUUCUGUUUUUGUACCCCUCCAGGUUCUAGCAUCAGAGUUCUGUAUCACGAGGAUUCGUGCCACUUCCCAGUGUAGGUGGCUUCUUAUGAUGGUAUAAUCAUUAUCUUACUUAUUGUACUUUACUUAUGCUUUGUAUCAUGUGCGAAAUGGGCCCAAACCCGCUCACCGCGCACUUGUGUACUUAGGCACUUUUAGAUUUUAAUUUAUUCACAUUUUAUACAUUAUCACACUUUAUGGCUUCGUCACCUUCCAGGUGUCGGCCAGUACGGCUCGAUUCGGGGUCCUAGUGGACAUUCUGGGUCGGGGUGCGUCAUAAGUCGCAGGUUUUGAAAUUUUUUAUUAUUUUAAAUGGCAUUUGAGUAUCACAAUACAUGAUUGACAUGUUUAUAAUUAAAUAAAUAUUGUUGACAUGCGCUUGAUAUUGUAAUAUUUUAUUGAUUUUAUACAAAAUCAUUCUUAAAAAUAUUCUCUAUAUAUUCUAUUAAAAAUAUUCUCUAUAUAUUCUAUUUGAUCGUAUUUUACUUAACCCUAUUAUAUGAGGGUUUAGUAAGAGAACAUGUGUCGAUUAAUUAGAUAGGACACAUGAAAAUCGACCACAAAAGAUUUGAACUUGACUAUUAAAGGUGAACGAGUAAAAAAAAAAUUGUUUGAUAAGCGAUAGCGUUAGUGGGUUAAAUUGUUAGUUGUUAAAGCAAAGAUGAUCGGUGAAAAUGAAAUCUGCAUUAGAGUGUAUAUACACUUGUUUUUUGCCACUGCAGCAAAACGCGAUCUGCGAACUAGUAGACAUAUUGUCUUCAAGGCAAAUGAGCAUCUAACCUUAUGAGACCUGCAUAUUAAAAAAUUGAUGAAACGGGAUUUGACACAUCAGUUAGUUGCUGAAGGGCAUCCUGCUUCUUGCCUUCAAAUCCUAGUCAGACGUAAUCAAGGGCGGCCCUGAGGGUAGCCCAAGUAGGCGCCCACCUAAGGCUCCUACUUUGGAAGGGCCCCAAAAAAGUUUUAUAUCCUGUAAUUAACAUAUAAAUACAAAAAAAAAGUAAGAAAUAUCAUAAUUCAUUUGUUAGUGCAGUGAAAAUGUUGGCUUCAUUUUUCUUUGGAGUGUUGACUUCGAAACAUGAUGCUGCCUUUCAGUCACUAGAUUUUUCUUGAUUUUCAAAUUUAUUGCCAAUCCAUCUGUCCAACUCCCAAUCCAUCUGUCCAACUCUCAAUCCAUUUGUCCAAAUGCAUAUAAAGUUAUAAAACUCAAGUCUCUUUGUGAUCUUUUUUUUUCUUUCAACUUCUCAUUCUCUCCGUUUUUGUUGAAUGUUUAAACCAACUUCUCAUUCUCUCCAUUUCUAUUGAAUGUUUAAACCAACUAUCAUAUGGUCUUAAAGAUUGUACUUUAAGGUAAUAAAAAUUUUGAAUUUAUAUUUUUCUUUUCAAUAACUUUUUAUUCAAUGGAUUAUUUUAAUAUUCAAUUCGUUAGUGUGAUGUUGAUUUUAGAAGAAAAAAAAACACAAGAGAAACAAUUGGCAUUGAAUUUAUUAUACUCGUCAAUCAAGUUUUAUUGUUCUUCACUCUCAAUCUUAGACUUUUGACUGUAAACAUUUAGUACAUUUGUGUCUAAAAACAUGAAUCGUGUAAGGUUUAAAUAAUGUUUGUACAUUUAUCUUCUUUUGAUAUUAAUUUUUAAUGAUAUUUGAUAUGAAAAUAAAACUUUUUAUGUAUUUAGCGAAUUCUUUUUUAUACAAAUCAAUAUACAAAGAACCAAAGAUCAUAGAAUUUUAGGGCCCCACUUUGAAGGCUUGCCUAGGGCCCCCAAAUUCUCAGGGCCGGCCCUGGAUGUAACCCUUCGGUUAGAGCACUUUGACGACAUAACCCUUUGGUUAGAGCACUUUGACACCCCCACUUAGUUGAUGCUCUAAAUAAGCCUAAAGUUGUGUAAUUAAUUAGAAGAAUUAGGUCACUUAGUAUUUCGGUCUAGUAGUAUUCCUCUUCAUUUGUAAGUGAGAGGUCAAUAGCCUACGGUUUAGUGGUAUUGCUAGCUCAUUGUGAGGCUAAGCCUACCCCUCUCCUUUAAUGUAGAUAAUAAAAAAUAAAUAAAAAUAAAUAAAAAGUAAGAGGUCUCAAGUUCAAGUCUCGUCAAAGGUGAAUUGGAACCAAAUUGUUGCUAACUCGUUAUGAGGCUAAACUCACCCCCUUCCUCUUAGUAUAGAUAAUAUCGUUUGUUCAAAAAAAAAAUUAAAAUAUGAGAGAUAAAGCUUUGUUGUUGUGAGGGGGUUGGUUUUGUUUUUGGGAGAUUAUACUUGCACAUCCCAAAUUAAUUCUCCCACACCCUUUUAAUUUUUUAAUGUUUUAUAAUGUCUGGACCGUUGACAGCUAUUGAUCCAUGUGAAAAGGAGUUUUAGAAAAUCCAGACCGUUGGAAAAUCCUAUCCUUGUGCCCAAAGUCAAACCAAUUUACGAAAAAGCCCUUUCCAUAUCGCAGUGGAGUUAAGUAGCAACUAGCAACUGGGAGAGUGAGGUUGCUUGCGUUACACGAAUGGAACUACCAAUACAAUUAAGCCACGUGAGUUGCAAUCCAAUUAAACCGAGUGAGUUGCUUGUUUGCCGCGUUUCCUUGUUCAAUCGGGAGAUAAUGGAAUGGAAGAAGCUAUAAAUUGGAACCCUAAUUUCCACACUAUCCAUAAUUUCCCGAAUCUCAAACCACAAUUACCAACUUGCUUCUCUCUCUCUCUCGUUAUUCCAAAAGCUCUCAACUUUCAAGUCUUCUGUUCUCAGGAACCCUAAUCAGUGUUCAAUUGUUCAUACGUUCUAGGGUUUUCCUCAGAGAUCGCAACUAGUUCCUUGGCGUUGACGGGUUUAGUUUAGCCCCACAUUAACUGUUGGAGGGUUGGUUCGGUUCCUUACGAGUUACAACCCGAUCAUGGACAAGUUUUGGAUUACUAAGCAACUAGGCGGUGGUUCUUUCGGAACGGUAUUUGAGGCGCAGCACCAACCGACGGGUGAAGUCGUUGCAGUCAAGUAUCUGAGGGAGACAUUCAGUUCCUUUGAGCAGUGCCUAAACCUACCGGAAGUUCAGUCCCUUUCCAAGCUCAGGCACCCCAACAUUGUCCAGUUGAAGGAUGUCAUCUUCGAAAACGAUUCUGCAUUCCUUGUCUUUGAGUAUAUGCAGAGCAGUCUGCUUGAUCUUAUGAUGAAAAGGCGAACCAAAUUCACCGAGGAAGAAGUUAGAAGCAUCUGCUUUCAGAUGUUUCAGGGCCUGGCUUAUAUGCACAGAAACGGCUAUUUCCACCGUGAUUUGAAGCCCGCUAAUGUGUUGGUUAAGGAUGGUGUGCGUGUGGUCUAAUAACCAAUAUAACAGAAUUGCCACAUGUAUAACAGAAAUGCCACAUGGCAUUAUCUAGAAGGUGGGUUAGUUAAUACAGGUAGAAGGCUAUUGUUGUAAUUAGUUCUUAUGGGUAUAUAAGGGGUAAUAGGGUUCUCAUUUGAGUAAGAAUGUAUUGUAAGAAUUACUGAAAGCCUUAAUACAUUUCCUCUUUCUUCCACUCUAUCUUUUCUCAUCAUCUUCUUAUUCGAUUCUAGUAUCCAUUGCUAUUCAUAGCUUCUCUGUGUUAAUAUGGUAUCAGAGCCGGUUUAGCUCGUCGCCACUCUCGGUUCUGGUGAAGACUUCCGCUGUUUUGGGUGCUAUUUUGACGAUUGGGUGUUCGAAGAUUUGGGUGUUUAGUGGUUAUCUGGAACGGCGUUCUUCGGAGUUUCGUGGUGCGAUUGUCAGCAAAUCAGGUGAUUGUGUUUCUCUCUGGGUGCUGUGGUUCGAUUUGUUGGAAUUUGAUUGAUGCGAAGAUUUGGGUUGUUGUGUUGAUUUCUGCCAUUCUCAUUCUGUGUGUAUUGUUCCUUGGAGUAUUAUUCUCUAGGACUUGUUGAUUUUCAAGCAGAAAGUGUCAUUCUUUCUAUGAAUCUUAGAGUUUCAAUCUCCUGUGCUGUGUUUGUUCCUUGGAGUAUCAUUCUCUAGGACUUGUUGAUUUUAAAGAAGAAAGUGUCAUUCUUUCUAUGAAUCUUGGAGUUUCAAUCUCAUGUGCUGUGUUUGUUCCUUGGAGUAUCAUUCUCUAGGACUUGUCGUUUUUAAAGAAGAAAGUGUCAGUCUUUCUAUGAUUCUUGGAGUUUUAAUCUCCUGAUUUGGUGUCGUGAGUUGAAAUGUGUAAUUUGGGUUGUGAUUUGGAGUGUCAUUCUCCCAUAUUUGGGUCUUGUUUUUGUGAAUUUUAGAAGUCAGAAGUGUGGUUCAUUGACUUUAUUUCCAAUGGCGUCUUCUUCAUUCAAGAUUGAGAAUUUGUUGGGUAUGUUGACUAUAAAACUUCGAGAUGAUGAUAAUUUUGCUAAAUGGGCCUUUCAGUUUCAGUCGGUUCUUAAAGGGUACAAAUUGUUUGGUCAUUUUGAUGGUUCGAUUGGUUGUCCAUCAAAGUAUGCUGUGAAUUCUGACACUGGUAUUACAAGGGAGAUUACCACAGAGUUUCUUGAUUGGGAGUCCACUGAUAUGGCGCUUAUUAGUUUGCUGCUUUCUACACUCACAGAUGAGGCCAUGGAGUAUGUCUUAGGGUGCAGGACUGCUUUUGAAGCAUGGUCGAAUCUUGUUGAAAGAUAUGCGUCUGUUUCGAAGUCUCGAGUUAAUCAUUUGAAAACAGAGUUGCAAACGAUUCAGAAGGGGGCAGAUAACAUUGAUAAAUACUUGUUACGUCUGAAGACUAUCAGAGAUCAGUUAAUGGCUGCUGGUGAGACAAUUUCUGACAAUGACAUUAUCAUUGCUGGCCUGGCAGGUUUACCUAAGGAAUAUAGUGUUAUUCGCACAGUUAUCUUGGCACGGGAAUCUUCCAUUACCUUAAGGGAAUUUCGUGCUCAACUACUUGGUACUGAAAAUGAGGUUGAAGGAGAAAUGAGUCUGCUAUCUCAGAAUAUGAAUGCUCUUUUUGUUCAGGGUUCUCAGUCUGGUCAGCAUACUAGUUUGGGAUCUUCCAGUGGUGCAUCUUCAUCACAUUCUCAAGAUCAUGCUCAUAUACCUGCUACUACAGCAGGUACUAUUGUUUGGCAACCACAGGGGUCAUUUAAUAAUGCUCAUCAACAUGGUAUGGAGUCUAAGAUGUGUGUUCUAAUAAUUUUCCUCCAGGGCAUCAUGAUCACUCUUGUGGAUCCGGAUCUCAGAUGUGUGGUUCUAAUACUUUUCCUCCAGGGCAUUAUGAUCACUCUUGUGGAUCCGGAUCUCAGAUGUGUGGGUUUGUAGCUCACUCUUAUUCUGGUCAGCAGCAUGGUUUCAGAUCUCAGAACUAUAAUGGGGGUUACAGAUCUGGAAAUGGUGGUCAAUCCAGGAAUAAUAGCAACAACUAUAGAACUGGUAACAACUUCAGAGGACGUGGGUUUUAUGGUGGAAAUGGUCCUUAUUCUUCAGGGACAAGACAAGGUCAGAAUGUUACUGGGUCGUGGUCAGGCAAUACUGAAGCUAAAACAAAUGUUGUAGUUGAGUGUCAAAUUUGCAAUAAAAGAGGUCAUACUGCAGUGAACUGUUUUCACAGAAAUACAGGCAAUACACCAGCUGGGUUUAUUGUGGAGUGUCAGAUAUGUGGGAAAAGAGGCCAUUCUGCUCUAGACUGUUUUCACAGAGCCAACUACACAUAUCAAGGUCAGCCACCCCCAGCCUCACUAUCUGCCAUGAGUGCACAACAAACAUCUCAGGAUCUUUCUCAGGAUUUGUGGAUUGUGGAUUCAGGUGCUUCACAUCACAUGACUGCAGAUUUAAAUGUUUUAAACCAAGUGGCUCCUUAUCAAGGGUCUGAUAAUAUAACCAUUGGUAAUGGUUCAAGUCUACCAAUUAAACAUAUCGGUUCCACUGCACUUAAUACUGCUGAUCAUUCUCUAGUUCUCAGUAAAGUCCUUCAUGUUCCAAAUAUUGCCAGAAACCUUCUUUCAGUUAAACAAUUGUGUGCAGAUAAUAAUAGCUGGUUUAUAUGUGAUGAGUGUGAGUUCUUUGUGCAGGACAAGAAGACAAAGGAGGUGGUGUAUCACGGAAGGAGUAAACCCGAAGAGUUAUUUCAGAUUCCAGUGGUUAAAGCUUCUAGAGAGAACAAGUUUGUUACAAGCAAUCCAGUGGCUUACUUAGGGAAAAUGGUGAAAUCAGAUAUUUGGCAUCAACGGUUGGGUCACCCUGCACAUGAUACUAUGGCUGCAAUGUUAAAACAGUCUAAGGUUUUACACAAGUUAGAUGCAACUUGUACUACUUGUAUUUCUUGUAUUAGGGGUAAAAUGUCUAGGAUACCUUUUCCUGUGAGAAAUGCUAGUUGUUUGGCUCCAUUUGAGAAAGUUCAUACCGAUGUUUCGGGUCCAACACCUGUAAGGUCUGUGGAAGGCUUUAGAUACUAUGUACUUUUCGUAGAUGAAUAUACAAGAUUUACUUGGAUAUUUCCCAUGUGCAACAAUUCUGAUGUGUAUGCAAUUUUUCUCAAGUUCUAUGCUUUCAUUUACACUCAGUUUGGGUUAACAAUUAAAGGUUUGCAAACAGAUGGUGGAGGUGAAUACACUUGCAAGCGGUUUACAUCUUUUUUGGCUGCAAAAGGCAUUAUGCAAUUUAUUUCUUGCCCAUACACGCCUCAACAGAAUGGAAUGUCAGAAAGGAAACAUAGACAUGUGGUGGACAUUGCUCUCACUUUGUUAAAUGCUUCUGGUUUAAGUAGUGAGUUUUGGUACUUUGCUUGUGCUCAUGCAGUUUUUCUGAUUAAUAAAAUGCCGUGUAAAACCUUGUCAUUUAGUUCUCCCUAUUUCCUGCUAUACAACAAAGUGCUUGAGGUACAGUCCUUAAGAAUUUUUGGAACUGCUGUGUUUCCAUGGAUCAAGCCGUAUAACAGUCAUAAAUUGCAGUAUAAGUCCAAAAUAUGUAUCUUUUUAGGAUAUUCAAUGGGGUAUAAGGGAGUGAUAUGUUAUGAUCCACAGUCUAAGAAAUGCAUUAUAUCACGGCAUGUUAUUUUUGAAGAGUCAAUAUUUCCAGCAAGGUUGAGACCUUCUCACAGUGGUCUGGCAUUAGCUGAGACAGUCCAUCAAACUAGCUCUGUGAUUAUUCCAUUUCCUAUUCCCAUGCAGUCUCCAAUGGGUCAAUCUGAGCAGGAUGGGACAUCGAUGUCUAACUCAUCAGCAUCAACCUCCUCUCCAGCUAGUGAUACACCAACUCCACCUUCUUUGCUUCCUGUCCUCGAUCCUACUCAACUUCAGGUAUUAUUACCUUUGUCUGAGCACUCCUCUAGUAAUGCUUCCCCUGUAUUACCUGUACAAAAUCCACUUCCUUCUCGGAUUCAAACUAGGUUACAAACAGGUGCUAUUUCAAGAAAGAAUUAUGCAGCUUAUUUGGCCACUUUUCCUGAGUUAAAUUCCUUACAAAUACUGGAGUCUUGCUCGGAUAUGUCCUGGUCUAAGUCCAUUCCUAGUGCAUGUCCUGGAGGGUUUUCAUUUCUGGCUGAUAUCACAGAACCUGAUGAACCUAUAACUUUUAGGGUAGCAUCGUGUAAAUCUGAAUGGCAACAUACUAUGCAAGAAGAAUAUAAUGCAUUAAAGGCUCAAGGUACAUGGGUUCUAGUUCCCUCUCCAUCUCACAGAACAAUUGUAGGUAGCAAAUGGGUGUAUAAAAUCAAGAAAAAUCCAGAUGGUUCAAUAUCAAGGUAUAAGGCUCGGUUAGUUGCUCAGGGGUACACUCAAGAACAUGGCCUAGAUUACUCAGAGACUUUCAGUCCUGUGGUUAGACACACUACUAUUCGUUUAAUUCUUGUUUUAGCUGCACAGUUUGGUUGGAAUCUGCGACAACUUGACAUUAAAAAUGCCUUUUUGCACGGUGAUCUCGAGGAAGAGGUCUACAUGCUGCAACCUCAAGGAUUUGUGGAUCCUUCCUGUCCAAGUUAUGUGUGUAAGCUCAUUAAAUCUCUCUAUGGCUUGAAACAAGCCCCGCGAGCCUGGAACUCAAAGUUUACAAGUUAUCUUCCAUCCCUUGGGUUCACAACUUCCUUAUCGGAUACAAGCUUAUUUGUUAAAGUAGAUAAAGGGGAUAUUGUUCUCUUAUUGCUUUAUGUAGACGAUAUUAUACUCACUGGUUCCAAUCCUAUAACAGUUCAAGUAGUGAUCAGUGAACUUGCUGAAGUGUUUGAUCUCAAGGACAUGGGCAGAUUAUCUUAUUUCUUGGGAUUGCAGAUUCAGUAUAAAGAUGAUGGUUCAUUGUUCAUCAGUCAAUCGAAAUAUGCUAAAGAUCUCCUCAAGAAGGCAGCAAUGGAGACAUGUAAGCCUACAUCAACACCAUCUAAGCCCCAUGCACAAUUUCUUGAACAAGAAGGGGCUCCUCUCUCUGACCCAAGUCAUUAUCGAAGUUUGGUAGGGGCUCUCCAAUAUUUGACAUUUACUCGGCCAGAUCUUGCUCAGGCUGUUAACAUGGUUUGUCAGUUUAUGACUUCCCCGACCGAUCUUCAUAUGCAUCUUGUCAAACGCAUCUUACGGUACUUGAAAGGCACACUUGAGUAUGGUUUGCAUUACAAAAAGAGCUUGGAUUUCAAUUUGCUUGCCUAUUCUGAUUCAGACUGGGUGGCAGACAUAAACACCCGACGUUCUAUAACUGGUUUUGUGAUUUACUUGGGCGAUAAUCCCAUUUCAUGGCAGUCUAAGAAGCAAUCCAUCGUAUCUCGCAGCUCUACUGAGGCUGAAUACAAAGCUCUAGCACAUUCUGCAGCAGAUUUGUUUUGGAUUCGAUCUCUUCUCAAAGACAUACAUCAGUGCAUCUUGGUGCCUCCAGUCAUUCACUGUGACAAUCUGAGUGCUUUAGCUCUAAGAUCGAAUCUUAUCUUUCACUCGAAGAUAAAACAUCUUGAUACCGACUAUCAUUUUGUUCGUGAAAAGGUACAACGGGGUGAUUUACUUGUCCAAUAUAUACCUACUGAAGAACAGGUUGCAGAUGUUUUCACCAAAGGUCUGCAUGGUCCUGUGUUUGCAAAGCACUACCGAUAUCUUGCUCUUGCUGUUUCAGGUUCAGUUUUAGAUCCGGUUUCAGGUGGUUAGCUGUUUCAAACUUCACUUGGCAGAUCUAUGUUCAGUUUGAGGGGGGAGUAAUAACCAAUAUAACAGAAUUGCCACAUGUAUAACAGAAAUGCCACAUGGCAUUAUCUAGAAGGUGGGUUAGUUAAUACAAGUAGAAGGCUAUUGUUGUAAUUAGUUCUUAUGGGUAUAUAAGGGGUAAUAGGGUUCUCAUUUGAGUAAGAAUGUAUUGUAAGAAUUACUGAAAGCCUUAAUACAUUUCCUCUUUCUUCCACUCUAUCUUUUCUCAUGAUCUUCUUAUUCGAUUCUAGUAUCCAUUGCUAUUCAUAGCUUCUCUGUGUUAAUAUGGUCAAGAUUGCAGAUUUGGGUUCGGCUAAGGAGAUUGAUUCACCUCCUCCCUAUACAGACUACGUCACUACUCGUCCGUAUCGUGCUCCUGAGGUGUUGCUUCGGUCAGGCUUGUAUGGUCCUAAGGUCGAUAUGUGGGCAAUGGGUGCCAUCAUAGCGGAGGUGUUUUCAUUCCUGCCUCUAUUUCCCGGUGAAAGUGCUGAUGAUCAGAUGUUCAAGAUUUGCAGUGUUAUAGGCAGUCCCACUUGGGAGUCAUGGCCAGAGGGACAGCUUCUUGCCCAAAACUUGAACUAUCAGUUUCCAAAAAUUGGCGGGGUUGGUCUAUCUGCGAUGAUUCCUUCUGCAAGCAGAUCUGCCAUCCAGCUGAUUUCUUCCCUUUGUUCUUGGGACCCUUACGCGAGGCCUACUGCUGCUGAGGCACUACGGCAUCCUUUCUUCGUUGGCAACUACAAGAUUCCACGAGCCAUCCCUUUGAGACAAAGCAAUAUCCUGCCUGCAUCAAACUCUCUUAUUUUCGCCUAGAUUUGACACGAAUAAUGUGGGUAGUUAACUGCAUUUGAUUCAUUAGCUUUCAAAAACUAGAUACAAAUUUUAUUUUAACAAGUGUAGUUUAUUUGAAUGCUCAACGUAGAGUGGCAGCAGGCCAACUACAUGUAAUGUAUGUAUGUAUGAUACAGUUUAGUAAGCUCUCAUUAAUCUGCGAUAUAUACCUACAAAUUUCAUUUCAACUGAGUCACAUUGUUUUGUUUGGUUCAUAUUUCAGUGUUCGAAACAUAAUCAGACAUCGACACUUAGUAAGUAAAUGAACAAAUUACUUGCAGGCUAAUUUGCGAGGAAAAAGGAAACUCAGAUAACAUAACGCAAGGCUUUAAUUUACAACUCAAGGCAUCCAACAACGAAGUAGAGUAUAAUGCCUUAUUAACAGGACUCUGAAUGGCACAAGAUCUGGCAGUCAAGAGGCUCGCAAUCCAUUCCGAUUCUCAGCUCAUCACUAGCCAAACUGCUGGGGAGUAUGCAACAAAGCAUCUAAGGAUGACAUUAUACCUCGAGAAGGUACGAAAGCAACUUGAGGCGUUUCAGACUUACACCCUCACAUAGGUGCCAUAUGUAAAUAACGCUCAUGCAAACACCAUGACAGCCUUCAACUCUACUUUGGACUACCAAUUCAGAUGCUCCAUCCCGAUCGAGUAUUUGGGAAAGCCGAGUAUAGAAGAAGAACCAACAGCUGAGGGGUUACAAGUUAGUACAAUCCCAAGUUGGCAAGAUCCUAUCAUCUACUACCUAGUCAAUAGGACACUUAUUGUAGAAAGAUUAAAAGCUAGGAAGCUACAAAUAAAGGUGACACGCUACUAUAUGUGGAACGACAUUCUCGUAUGAAGGUCCUUUUGAGGCCCACAUCAUUCGUUGCAAAGUGCCUCCUGAUGACUUAAAAGUUUUGAGCUCGAUCCACAAAGGAGUUUGCGAAAACCACUAAGGAGGCCGAUCCUUAGCACAUAAGGUCUUCAACGCCGGCUACUACUAGCCUACCGUGCAUUAAGACGCUAAGGAAUUGUUCAAAAGUACAACAAAUAUCAACGCUUCAAGCUUGUACCCUUACUACUUGCCAGCGAGCUCCACCCGCAGACAAGCCUAUGGCCAUUUAUGCAGUGGGAAAUCAACCUAGUAGGGCCCAAGCUGCCUGAUACUAGGGGCAAAAGCAUAAUGAUUGUGGCUACCAACUACUUCACCAAGUGGGUAGAAGCUGAGCUCAUGACCACCACUACUCAAUUAGACAUAGAGUGCUUCAACCAUAAUCUAUCAUCACUGACAAUUGCCUGUAAUUCGUGGGCAAAGACUUGGCGAAGUUCUUCUAGAAAUAUGGCAUCAAGCAGCAUAUAUCUACGCUUAGAUAUCCCCAAAGCAAUGGGCAGGCGAAGGCAUCCAACAAGACAAUGGAUUACUAAGUUAUCGAGUGGGAUCAAGGAUGGGACCACGUACAGCAGGGGAUCGCAAAGAUGAACAGGAUUAUACAAGGAUCAUCAGAACCUCAGUUCACCUCAGAAGAAUAUAUGAGCCUUUACACAACUAUCUAUAACAUGUCUAUUCAACAACCUCCUCAUAAUUAUUCUCAGCAGCUCUAUGAAAAGUAUCAGAAGACAAUUGAGGAAUACAUUUCUUCAACAGUGUUGCUGCCCCUAAUGGAGAAGCAUGAUGAGUUGAUGUUGCAGGAGUACGUCAAAAAUUGGGUAAAUUAUAAAGUUAUGUUUAGGUGGCUCUCACACUUCUUUUGUUUUUUUAUGAUCGUGGCAUCACUCGGAAUCAGACAUCACUUCCUGGGCCGAAUGAAGUUGUACUUAACUGCUUCCGUAAUUUGGUUUAUCCGAAGGUAAAUGCUAAUGUGAGAUAUUAUGUACUUGGACUUAUGCAUAAAGAACGCGAGGGAGAGAAAAUUGACAGAGCACUACUGAAGAAUGUGAUAAAUAUAUAUGUUGAAAUUGAAAUGGGAGAAUUGGAUGCGUAUGAAAAGGACUUCGAAGAAUACAUGCUUAUUGAUACUCGCAAGUACUAUUUGCAUAAAGCAUCAAGUUGGAUUUUGGAGUACUCAUACACGGAUUACAUGUUGAAGGCAGAUGAAUGCUUGAGAAGGGAGAGGGAUAGAGUUUCUUGUUACCUGCUUCCGAGCAGUCAGAAGAAGCUAAUGGAGACAGUGAAACAUUGCUUGGUGGUGGUUCAUGGAAGUCAAUUGAUUCAGAAGAAGCAUUCUGUAUCUGGAUGUACUUUGCUCACGGAUGAAAAUCUGGAGGAGCUUUCUAGGAAAUU
rnacentral:lncRNA from 1 species